rnacentral:sRNA from 1 species
CGAUUGCGUAAGGGAUUGAAGUGGAAAUCCUUUUUAUUUUUUUAUAAAAAGAUUGUAACGUAAAGCCCGACCCAGA